GAUUAUUUAGUAUAUAAAUAGUAUAUUUAACUUCCAAUUAAAUGGACUCAAUAAGAGAAUAAUCU
rnacentral:tRNA from 1 species